rnacentral:misc_RNA from 1 species
UUUCCGUAGGUGAACCUGCGGAAGGAUCAUUAAUGAUUAGCGGUUGUGCGACGGCUGACGCUGAUACGCACCGUCGGUCCCGCGCGAGCGCUUUCCCACAUAUCCAUCUCCCCCCAAUGUCUACUACCUCAUGUGUCUCCCUUAAGCCUGUUCGGAGGAAGCCUUACGCUUUCACCCAUCCUCAACAUGCCGUUUGGCAUGUAUUUCUUGUAUUAGCGAACCCGCAAUCAAUACCACAUUCAUCAACUGAUCUCUUGGCUCUCGAACCGAUGAACAACC